rnacentral:pre_miRNA from 1 species
UUAACUCAAAUUUGUAUGGAGAUUCAACGUUUGCUACGUUUACCGCUAGGGACGUUUUUUCAACGGCAUACAAAUUUGAGUUA